GGAAAGUGCUGAGCUCUGAAUUCUGUCUCUCUCCAAAUUUUCCCAAAUGCUUCUCCCCCACCCCAAGAGGGAGGGAGAGGCCCCGUCUGGACUCCAUGGAGUGGGCAGCGGAGUGGAGACAGCCCAGGAAUGAACGCACCUGAUGGAGUCAUUCCACAGUGCUUAAACAUCAAGGGUUUAUCAUCUUGGAACUCAGUGAGCUGCAAAGACCCUGUGGUUGCCCCUCAGGCGACUUAUAUCUUGGAAAUGAGAUGGACAGACCUGAACGAGAUCUCGUAAUCACAGACGGGCAACAGACCAGGGAAGCAGCAGAGGUGGAAGAAGCGGGCAUGGUACGAGGCCACCAUAUCAUCCCAGCCCAAGUCUGGGAGCCCCGGGCAGUCACAGCUCCGACAACUCCACACUCUCAGCUGGGCCCUGUGGCCAGAGGGGGAAGGGAGCUUGGUGGGUAGGGAGGAACUGCCACCUGGAAGGCCUUGAUGGGAACCAGCUGGCCGGGGUGGGGCCCCGGGAGUGUGGGUUGCAGGGAGGGGCGGGGCAAGAUGGGCAGGAGGCCACAGUGGGCGGGCGACUGACAGCUCUGAGCUGGGCGUGGCUGCUGGAGGCCCCCACCUUCCAGACUGCUGCAGUCCAGAUGCCUCCGCAGCCGGCCAGGCUCAUCCAACCCGCUGACCUCAUUCCCAGCUCCCGCCGGCCCGGACAGCCCCCCUCAAUUGUCUGCCACGUAGACCGGAGCCUCGGCAGCAUUUUCCGUAGGGCUGGGAGAGAACCCAGGCACCUUCAACCCAGAAAUAUGCUCAGCCAGGCAGAGCUGGGGAGGGUAGUGGUGACCACCCUGUGCCUCAGUUUCCCCUCCCCAAAUACGAGUCCCAGUGAAUGGAGAGGACUGGGAGGAGGGAGAUGUGAAGCAGGUUAGAGCUGGCAAACGAGAAUCAAGGGGUCGGGGCAGGGGGUGUGUGUGGGGUGGGAUUCCUGGAGGUCACUCUAGCAAUCCCUCAGUCUCUUAGGCCUGGAGAGUAUUCCUCUCAAGAAAGGGCAGAGGUGGGAGUGAGGGGUGAGGGGGUUUCCCUCCUUUGCCAAACUGUUCGUAAGAGGGGGAGUUCCCAGAAGGUUUGAAAUCCUUUGGGAAAUCUGGCCUCCCUCCUGCUGCUUUAGGUUGCCGUUUUGCCAGUCUGCACCACAGCAGCCAAGCUGUGGUGAGGUGUGGGUAGUGUCCUCUCCCUGGGCACCUCGGAGGCCUUGUCUUGAAUCCCUGGAUAGAGCUCUCUGCCUCUGACCUCUGUUUCUCCCUUGCCUCCCUGUCCCAGAGUGGGUCUCCAGCUGACCCUGACUGACCAAGAGGCCGUCCCCACUGGCCCACAAGGAGUUCCAGGCUUGUGAGUCAUCCUGGAAUGUCCGCCCUGCCUCCAGCUCCCAAUCCCUAGCCAGGGACCCUCUUUUCCCUCUUGUUUGACAGGGGUCCUGGAGGCAGAGAGGAAUUUUUGCCUGCCACAGUUACAAGUGAGCUAGAGAUGGUUCCUAUCGAAUGGCAGGCUUCAUGACUCCCACAUCCCAGGUGAGGAAGCUGAUGAGGGGCAGAUAUAGAAUGGAAGGAACUUGGAUGGACUCAGGUUGCUUUAGGGCUCAGCCUCACCUAACUCCAAGUCUGCUCAAGCUUCCUUCAGAAAAGUCCUCUGCCUGUGAGGACUGAUCUGAUAACUCUGGGGGUUGUGGGGGGAGGGAUUCAUUUCCCUGUGCCUCAGUCUCCUUAUCAGGGAAAUAAGAAUACAAAGGCUGAACAGAAAACUUCCUCUGCUCAAGUAGGACUGUGAUUAAAGGGUCAGACUUUAGCCACCCAAAGCAGUGCAAGCCUUUAGUCCAAGUGCUUGAGAAGCAGAGACAGAUCUCUGAGAGUUCAAGGCCAGCCUGGUCUAUGU
ensembl:lncRNA